AAUAGAUACCCUGGUAGUCCACGCUGUAAACGAUGAUGACUAGCUGUCGGGGCGCUUAGCGUUCCGGUGGCGCAGCUAACGCGUUAAGUCAUCCGCCUGGGGAGUACGGCCGCAAGGUUAAAACUCAAAGAAAUUGACGGGGGCCUGCACAAGCGGUGGAGCAUGUGGAUUAAUUCGUCACUAACCGAAGAACCUUACCCAGGCUUGACAUCGCGGGAAAUCCGGUGAAAGCCGGCCCUCCCUUCGGGGACCCAAAGAUAGGUGUUGCAUGGCUGUCGUCAGCUCGUGUCGUGAGAUGUUGGGUUAAGUCCCGCAACGAGCGCAACCCUCACCGUAUGUUGCCAGCGUAAAGUCGGGAACUCUUACGGAACUGCCCGUGCAAGCGGGAGGAAGGUGGGGAUGACGUCAAGUCGGCAUGGCCCUUACGCCUGGGGCUUCACACAUGCUACAAUGGACGGCAACAAAGCGUAUCGAGACCGCAAGGUGGAGGCAAUCGCAAAAAUCCGUCCUCAGUUCGGAUUGCAGGCUGCAACUCG
rnacentral:rRNA from 1 species